UACGUAGGGGGCAAGCGUUGUCCGGAUUUAUUGGGCGUAAAGAGCUCGUAGGCGGUGUGUCGCGUCGGCCGUGAAAACCUGCAGCUUAACUGUGGGCGUGCGGUCGAUACGGGCAUCACUGGAGUUCGGCAGGGGAGACUGGAAUUCCUGGUGUAGUGGUGAUAUGCGUAGAUAUCGGGAGGAACACCUGUGGCGAAGGCGGCUUUCUGGGCCCUAC
rnacentral:rRNA from 1 species